GACGAACGCUGGCGGCGUGCUUAACACAUGCAAGUCGAACGGAAAGGCCCUGCUUUUGUGGGGUUCUCGAGUGGCGAACGGGUGAGUAACACGUGAGUAACCUGCCCUUGACUUUGGGAUAACUUCAGGAAACUGGGGCUAAUACCGGAUAUGAUCUCCUGCUGCAUGGUGGGGGUUGGAAAGUUUCGGCGGUUGGGGAUGGACUCGCGGCUUAUCAGCUUGUUGGUGGGGUAGUGGCUUACCAAGGCUUUGACGGGUAGCCGGCCUGAGCGGGUGACCGGCCACAUUGGGACUGAGAUACGGCCCAGACUCCUACGGGAGGCAGCAGUGGGGAAUAUUGCACAAUGGGCGGAAGCCUGAUGCAGCAACGCCGCGUGCGUGAUGACGGCCUUCGGGUUGUAAACCGCUUUCGCCUGUGACGAAGCGUGAGUGACGGUAAUGGGUAAAGAAGCACCGGCUAACUACGUG
rnacentral:rRNA from 1 species